GACGAACGCUGGCGGCGUGCUUAACACAUGCAAGUCGAACGGAAAGGCCUGCUUUCCCUUGUGGAUUGCGGGUACUCGAGUGGCGAACGGGUGAGUAACACGUGAGUGAUCUGCCCCCAACUUGGGUAUAAGCCUGGGAAACUGGGUCUAAUUCCCGAUAGGACUGCAGGGUGGUGCCUGUGGUGGAAAACGAUUUUCUAGUGGUUGGGGAUGAGCUCGCGGCCUAUCAGCUUGUUGGUGGGGUAAUGGCCUACCAAGGCGGCGACGGGUAGCCGGCCUGAGGGGGUGGACGGCCACAUUGGGACUGAGAUACGGCCCAGACUCCUACGGGAGGCAGCAGUGGGGAAUAUUGCAGAAUGGGCGGAAGCCUGAUGCAGCGACGCCGCGUGGGGGAUGACGGCCUUCGGGUUGUAAACUCCUUUCGACCGCGAGGAAGCCACCUGGUUGGAAGGGUGGUGACGGUAGUGGUAGAAGAAGCACCGGCUAACUACGUG
rnacentral:rRNA from 1 species